rnacentral:tRNA from 1 species
GUGACCGUGGCCGAGUGGCUCAGGCGUGCGACUGUGGAUCGCUCCACGAGAGUUCAAUUCUCUCCGGUCACCCCA